rnacentral:rRNA from 1 species
UGGGGAAUAUUGCACAAUGGGCGGAAGCCUGAUGCAGCGACGCCGCGUGGGGGAUGAAGGCCUUCGGGUUGUAGACUCCUUUCGACAGGGACGAAGCUUUUGUGACGGUACCUGUAUAAGAAGCACCGGCUAACUACGUGCCAGCAGCCGCGGUAAUACGUAGGGUGCGAGCGUUGUCCGGAAUUACUGGGCGUAAAGAGCUCGUAGGUGGUUUGUCGCGUCGUCUGUGAAAUUCCGGGGCUUAACUCCGGGCGUGCAGGCGAUACGGGCUGACUUGAGUGCUGUAGGGGAGACUGGAAUUCCUGGUGUAGCGGUGAAAUGCGCAGAUAUCAGGAGGAACACCGAUGGCGAAGGCAGGUCUCUGGGCAGUAACUGACGCUGAGGAGCGAAAGCAUGGGUAGCGAACAGG